GCUCAACCACUGAGCCACCCAGGUGCCCUUCCACAAAAGAAUUUUAGGAAUCUGUAUAUUGUCUUUACUUCCAAAGAAUCUUCCAGAGGCUAGGGGGGUUUGCAUGACAGCCUCAGAUGACUGAGGCCAGCCUGACCUGCUCUGCAUUUCCAAGAAGUUCCAGCCUUUCUAGGAAUAGAUGCUGUUAGAUUCAGGGCGUCAACUGGCCCUUUUUGCUUUUAUUCAAGGCAUGAGAUAAGCUACCAAGGGACUCUCCACACUGCAAUGAACAUUCAGACUCCUAAACUGGUCCAUGAUUGAUUAGGAAAAUGAGAGCAUCUACAGACGUUCUGGUGUCCUCAUGGAGGACCAGCGGUGACUCCCUAUUGAUCCUGACAUCCGAUACAAGCGUCUUCACUGACUGCCAAUUGCUCAGCCCAUCUUUCAAAUCUAAUUUUCAUUACAACUCAACAUUAACACUCAGACAGACACAGAAUGUGAAGAGGGGAGGGGCAGAGAGAGGGGGACACAC